rnacentral:tRNA from 2 species
CGGAGUAUAGCAUCAGUGGUAGAUGUGCGGGGUAUCGCCGCGUCCUUGGUUCGAUUCCAGGUGCUCCGC